GCACAGCCAAGGUUAAACACCACUUGAACUCUGUGACUUAAAGCAAGUUUUCCAGGCCAGCCCCCGUGGCCUAGUGGUUAAGUUCAGCGCACUCUAAUUCAGCGGCCUGAGUUCAGUUCCUGGGUGUGGACUUACACCAUCUGUCUGUCAGUGGCCCUGCUAUGGCAGCAGCCCAUAUACAAAAAGAGGAAGAUUGGCAACAGAUGUUAGCUUCAAGGGAAAUCUUUCUCAGCCAAAAAAAAACGCGAGUUUUCUAAUUUGGCAAAGAUUUAAUUUCCUUCUUGGUAAGAUGGCAACUGGCAGGAGGAGAGGAGAAGCUAUGAGAACAGUUAGAAGAGGUAAAGAGGCUUCUCCAGAAAUGCCAUACCACCUCCUUCAGUUCUCCAGUGGAGUAGCCACCGGCUGGUAUAACAAUGGACCAAGGCAGAAAAAAAAGAAAAGAACAACUCAUCAGAAACCAGGCUUUUGUCAGAAAGAAAAAAGAAAAAACAAUGCUCAAACCCAACUGCAGCAAGCAAUUAGGGAACAAUAGCUAAAUACUUUCUAUAAUUAGAGAGAGAAACUGUCGCAAGUGAUCAGAGCGCCUUUGUCUGCACUGACCCUCAACACCCAGAGAAGAUCUUGGCUCAUGUGAGAUGGAGACUGGGGAAUCUUUGUGUCUUUUUUAGUUUUCUUGAGAAAUUAAAUUUCACACCACCCUUCUGUUGCCAAGAAAGAAGAGCAGAGGAGGCAGCGAGGACCCUCUCACCAGAAAAGAAAGGCAAUUGGAAAUGUGACUCAUGUCGAGGGCUAAUUCAAUCCUGAAAGAGGAAAGGGUCUUACAGCUUCCCCGCAGAGCUCCUGACACCCUGGUCCUACUCUGCUGAUGGCGCAGGUGGGUGGGUUGGCAUUUUUGGAGGAACAGGGGUUUGAAAUCCACUUAUCACAUCCCUUUUGCCAAAAUGUGAGGAGGAGCAAAUUCUUAUCUUUAACAAUGGAUAUUCUGGACAAAAGCAAAGGAGAGGAUAUGCCCACAAACUUUAGUGCUACAGAAUUGCUCUCUUGGUCUUGACACAAGGACCAAGCUAGAUUCCUUGCCCCACAUCUCUAUGCCUGCCCAGGUCCUGCUCUUCUCCCAAGCCCCCAGCUUCCAAACUCUGGUCACCUUUUUCUCUUCAUUCUCCUCAGUUCCUCAUCGCUAACUCAGCCUAUUGAUACUUCCUUCUACAUACACUCCCAUCUUUUCCUUCCUCCCCAUUCCUACCACACAAGCACUGUCAAGCUCCCCACGCAUCCCAUAUCUAGACUUUUCUGCAGACUUCCAUCUG
rnacentral:lncRNA from 1 species